AAUGGCCGGCGAUGAUGUCAGGCGAGAUUCAUGUUCAAUGUAGGGGUGGGCGAUAUAUCGAAUAUACUCGAUGUAUCUCGAGUUUUCCUUGCCGCGAUAUUGAAAAUGGCUUUAUCGCGACCAUCGCGUGCAAAUUGUCACGGCAAGAUUGAGCCGCUGUAUUGAAUUCACUGUGAGUUUAGUUUCUCCCACAUUCUGUGAACGCAUCAUGCGCUCCGCCUCCAAGGCCAGAGAGCGCUCUUGCGCAGACACGCGCGUUGACGAGACAGCGAGAACCAUGGCGACAGCGCGGCGUUUCAGGCAGUGGUUUGGAUUUCACAAGAAGGAGGUCGAAGAAAACGCGGUAAAGCUUGGAUUGGAAAAAUCUGAGUUGCAACUCAGAGGGCCAAGAUGACUUUGGAGGAGCUGCAGAGAUCCACACCUCAGAUUUUCUCCUUUUGGAGGAUUCCAUCUUUUUCCAAUCAGUGACAGAGGAUGCUUAAUAUCUUGG